UCAAGAUUUGUAUUUCUUUUCUUUUUUUUUUUUCUUUUUGCCUUUUCUAGGGCUGCAUCUGUGGCCUAUGGCGGUUCCCAGGCUAGGGGUCUAAUUGGAGCUGUAGCCACCGGCCUACGCCAGAGCCACAGCAACACCAUAUCCGAGCCUCGUCCGUGACCUACACCACAGCUCACGGCAACGCCGGAUCCUUAACCCAUUGAGCAAGGCCAGCGAUCAAACCCGCAAUCUCAUGGUUCCUAGUCUGAUUCGUUAACCACUACGCCACGACGGGAACUCCUUUUUUUAUUUCUAAUCAAUACAGAAUUGCUACAUGUUAAUAUAAACGACACACCACCCAGCCACACAGUGAUGAGAAGGUGCAGAUUUGUGGAAAGGAAUCAGCCUGAGGACUCUAGGAAAUUCCCAAUAGGUAACAAUGCGUCUGCUUCAGAGUGUCAACGUGAAAAGCUGCCAUCAGCAAGGAGAAUCUUCCUAAAACAGUGUCCACAAAGGGUCUUUAGACCAGCCUCGUAAUAACAGUGCAGAAAAUGAGAAAUGAAGAGGUGAAGAUGAUAAUCAAGACAGGAGAACAGUGCCCACGCCGUGAGUUUGGAACAAAGAAGAUCAGUACAGGUUGGUGCCCAAAAAUGUCUCGUGAGUAGACCAGCCGUACUUUCUCACCAUGCAGAUGAUUUCAUGACCCACGG
rnacentral:lncRNA from 1 species